AAAGCGACAAAUGGCGUGCUUAAACAUGCAAGUCGAACGGUGAAGCCAAGCUUGCUUGGUGGAUCAGUGGCGAACGGGUGAGUAUUCGUGAGCAACCUGCCCUGGACUCUGGGAUAAGCGCUGGAAACUGCGUCUAAUACUGCAUAUGAGCUCUCAUCGCAUGGUGGGGGUUGGAAUUAUUUUUUGGUCUGGGAUGGGCUCCCCCCUAUUUCUUGUUGGCGAAGUUUUCGCUCUCCAUGGUUUCGAAGG
rnacentral:rRNA from 1 species